GAUGAACGCUGGCGGCGUGCCUAAUACAUGCAAGUCGAGCGAACGGACGAGAAGCUUGCUUCUCUGAUGUUAGCGGCGGACGGGGGAGUAACACGUGGAUAACCUACCUAUAAGACUGGGAUAAAUUCGGGAAAACGGAGCUAAUACCGGAUAAUAUUUUGAACCGCAUGGUUCAAAAGUGAAAGACGGUCUUUCUGUCACUUAUAGAUGGAUCCGCGCUGCAUUAGCUAGUUGGUAAGGUAACGGCUUACCAAGGCAACGAUGCAUAGCCGACCUGAGAGGGUGAUCGGCCACACUGGAACUGAGACACGGUCCAGACUCCUACGGGAGGCAGCAGUAGGGAAUCUUCCGCAAUGGGCGAAAGCCUGACGGAGCAACGCCGCGUGAGUGAUGAAGGUCUUCGGAUCGUAAAACUCUGUUAUUAGGGAAGAACAUAUGUGUAAGUAACUGUGCACAUCUUGACGGUACCUAAUCAGAAAGCCACGGCUAACUACGUG
rnacentral:rRNA from 1 species